AUUGAACGCUGGCGGCAGGCCUAACACAUGCAAGUCGAGCGAGCGGCGGACGGGUGAGUAAUGCCUGGGAAUUGCCCAGUCGAGGGGGAUAAAAGUUGGAAACGACUGCUAAUACCGCAUACGAUUGGAAUGCCCAGGUGGGAUUAGCUAGUUGGUGAGGUAAUGGCUCACAAAGGCGACGAACCCUAGCUGGUCUGAGAGGGUGACCGGCCCAACUGGAAUUGGGACACGGUCCAGACUCGUACGGGAGGCAGAAGUGGGAAAUAUUGCACAAUGGGGGAAACCCUGAUGCGGCACUGCCGCGGGUGUGAAGAAGGCCUUCGGGUUGUAAGGCACUUUCAGCGAGGAGGCGUUACUCGCAGAAGAAGCACCGGCUAACUCCGUGCCAGCAGCCGCGGUAAUUC
rnacentral:rRNA from 1 species